AACGAACGCUGGCGGCAUGCCUAACACAUGCAAGUCGAACGAGACCUUCGGGUCUAGUGGCGCACGGGUGCGUAACGCGUGGGAACCUGCCCUUAGGUUCGGAAUAACUCCCCGAAAGGGGUGCUAAUACCGGAUAAUGUCUUCGGACCAAAGAUUUAUCGCCUUUGGAUGGGCCCGCGUUGGAUUAGCUGGUUGGUAGGGUAAAAGCCUACCAAGGCGACGAUCCAUAGCUGGUCUGAGAGGAUGAUCAGCCACACUGGGACUGCGACACGGCCCAGACUCCUACGGGAGGCAGCAGUGGGGAAUAUUGGACAAUGGGCGAAAGCCUGAUCCAGCAAUGCCGCGUGAGUGAUGAAGGCCUUAGGGUUGUAAAGCUCUUUUACCCGGGAUGAUAAUGACAGUACCGGGUGAAUAAGCUCCGGCUAACUCCGUG
rnacentral:rRNA from 1 species